AGGAUGAACGCUGGCGGCGUGCUUAACACAUGCAAGUCGAACGAUGACUUUUGUGCUUGCACAGAAUGAUUAGUGGCGAACGGGUGAGUAACACGUGAGUAACCUGCCCUUGACUCUGGGAUAAGCCUGGGAAACUGGGUCUAAUACUGGAUAUGCACCGUGAACCGCAUGGUUUUUGGUGGAAAGAUUUAUUGGUCAAGGAUGGACUCGCGGCCUAUCAGCUUGUUGGUGAGGUAAUGGCUCACCAAGGCGACGACGGGUAGCCGGCCUGAGAGGGUGACCGGCCACACUGGGACUGAGACACGGCCCAGACUCCUACGGGAGGCAGCAGUGGGGAAUAUUGCACAAUGGGCGAAAGCCUGAUGCAGCGACGCCGCGUGAGGGAUGACGGCCUUCGGGUUGUAAACCUCUUUCAGUAGGGAAGAAGCGAAAGUGACGGUACCUGCAGAAGAAGCGCCGGCUAACUACGUGCCAGC
rnacentral:rRNA from 1 species